rnacentral:rRNA from 1 species
ACUCCUACGGGAGGCAGCAGUGGGGAAUAUUGGACAAUGGGGGAAACCCUGAUCCAGCAAUGCCGCGUGUGUGAAGAAGGCCUGAGGGGUUGUAAAAGCACUUUCAACUGUGAGGAUUGGGAUUUUGGUUAAUACCCGAGAUCCUUGACGUUAGCAGUAGAAGAAGCACCGGCUAACUCCGUGCCAGCAGCCGCGGUAAUACGGAGGGUGCAAGCGUUAAUCGGAAUUACUGGGCGUAAAGCGUCUGUAGGCGGCUUAUUAAGUCGGAUGUGAAA